AUACAGAGGGUGCGAGCGUUAAUCGGAAUUACUGGGCGUAAAGCGCGCGUAGGCGGCUUAUUAAGUCAGAUGUGAAAUCCCCGGGCUCAACCUGGGAACUGCAUCUGAUACUGGUAAGCUAGAGUUUGGGAGAGGGAAGUAGAAUUUCAGGUGUAGCGGUGAAAUGCAUAGAGAUCUGAAGGAAUACCAGUGGCGAAGGCGACUUCCUGGCCUAAAACUGACGCUGAGGUGCGAAAGCGUGGGUAGCAAACGGGAUUAGAAACCCUAGUAGUCC
rnacentral:rRNA from 1 species